AUCUAUAAUAGUGAUAUUACUAACAACUUGAUAGUGUUAAAUUUGUUAAUGCCUUCAAGAUGCAACCUAAUAUAAAAAUUUCGUAAAGAACUAUGUAAAUGACGUGUUGAUGAAGUGGUGGUAGGCAAGCCUAUUGUAACCCAUCGCUCAUUAUUUUUUGUUUGUAUGUGCUCUAAAAAUUUAAAAUUUUCAAAAAAAUCUUCAAAAAGGUCCACUAUAGCAGAAUAAUUUUCCGAACGCUAUUCUAUAUGCGUACCUAAUAAUGUUGAAUAGAUGUAUAAAUGUAUAAUAAUAAUUCUAUACAAGCUUAAGCCAUGGGUUUGAUAACAGUAUAACACUUAUUAUAAUAUAAUAUAUAAACAGCUGUAUAUUAUCCGUAUCCGUAUCCUGACCACGCUUUAUAUUUAAGUUCAAAUAAUGGUUUCAGAAAACUAAACAAGACAUGGCUUUCGAAAAAAUAUUACAUUUUGAUUUUUGGACAUAUAAUGCUAUAUGCUUACUUAGUUGUUUGUUUCCGCUGAUUGGUAGAAAAAUAGAAGUAACUACGGCGCGGCCGCCACUGGAAACGUCAACAAGUAUAAACGGAUAUGAAAUCCACGAGUAAUUUGAAAAUAAAUGGAGCCUAUGAUAAUUUUCUAUAAUAUGUUUGCAGAUACGUGGAGAGUCGUAAUCGUAUUUGUAUUAGUCGUCGGAAACAUAGUGCCGGCGUGCUUUUCGUACAACUUUCCGGGUAUUCAAAAGAAAGCUGGUUCCGCGUACAACCUACUCUUUCAAGUUGGUUGAAAAUCCGACCAGAAAAACAAUAUGUUUAAUGAUUGUACCUAAUACCUACUACAUUUAUUCUCGGCGAUUUAGGAUUUUUGCAAAUUGGGAAUACUGACUGUAGACCUUCAGUUUGCGUGGUUUUGUUGGACUCUCGAAGACGGAUUUUUAAGGCUGAAUAACGUCUUGCAGCAGAUGACGGUUUCGUCCGGGAUACCGACCACGACGGCGACAAAAAGUCAAGGCAGGGAAACGAUCACGGCGAGAAAUAAUUAUUAUCACAGGUGUAAGUAUACACUAUAGGUAAUAUACAUAUUAUCAUCGAUUAUAAAUACAGUAAAACCUCGAAUCGGUUGGGGGUAAAAAAAAAAUUCGAGUUGUUGAAAAUUCAAGUUUAGAAAAAAUUGUGUGUACAUAUUGAAAUGCAGGGGCGAAAAUAUUCCUUCGAAAAUUCGACUUAUAGACGUUCGAGUUAUCGAGGUUUCACUGUACCAGUAUUUAUAAUCAAUGAUAUUAUAUACAUCGAUAGAACAGUAUAAUAAGACUGCAGUACAGCCAUGGGUGUGCGCAGGGGGUAGCCAUGCAGAGGGUACAUGAUAUGUUUGGGCACCUCUUGACAUUUUGCAAUUGAGGCCCUAAAAGUCAAACCAUCAAUCGGGGGUCGUAUGACAUAUUAUGUUAUUAGUUAAUACUAAAUAAAAUAUAAUUUUUUCCAAAGUAAGUGACACAGCUCCAGCAAUCAGCAUCUUAUCUUCAAAUGUUUUUUUAAUAAAAAUAAAAACUAUUCGUUCAAUACUCAAUAGACAAUAAAAUAUUGUAUUGGUAUUUAAAAAAAAAAUAUUCUACUUCAGAGUGUACAGAAAUAUUAAAAACAUAAUAAUUAUAUAAUUAUUAUACAGGUUGUCCCAUAUUCAAAAAUCAAAUCCGAAUGUCCUAAGUCCGACUAUGUACGAGCCUCCGCUUCAAUAUCCCGAACCUAUUACCUAUAUUAACCAGUGGUAACAUUAUAUUUAAACAUUGUUAUUUUUGGUCUUUUGGCAGACGAAGUCUACAGGGUGGAAGUGGCGUACGGGAAACUGAUGCAUGGUGCGACACUGGUCUGCAGCGUCUGCGAGGAACGCGUCCUGAUAAAUACGUCGUGUUACAUGUUCAACACGAUAUGUGGUCUGUUCGACACGAUUUCGGCGUAUAGGACUCGGGGGGCACCACUUCUCUUGGCCAUCAUGCACCUUUCGUGGGUGGUGAACUGUGCCGGUAGAAUUGCUCUAGUGUGUUUCGCCGCGUCUUCGGUCGUCGACCAGGUAUACUUUGGUAUACGCAUGUUCCGCUCAUAUUGUAUAUUGCCUAUUUGUCUAUGUACUAUAUAGUAUAAAGAUAGUGUAGACACUAUAUAGAUUGUGUAUAAGUACAGUUAAAUAUCUAUUAUUAUAUAAUAUAAUAUGUACCGCGGCUGAGUGUCUUUUCACGGCGUGGGUCCUUAACCUUACAUACGCACACAAUAAUAUUAUAUUUUAUCGUUUGGUGGAAAUUUCAAAUUAGUAUCCUUUAUGAUGUUAUUUAUUACUGUACAUAAAUAAUUGCAGCUCAUAAAAUAUAUUAAACUGUCGUUAAAUGAGACACAGAAGUCAGAAACUCUAUUUUUUAAUUUGAUUUUCUGUGUAACAGACAGGCAUUAGUUAAACUAAGCGUUAAAAAAACAGUUAUUUUCAAAUAAAUCCAAAGUGAUUGUUUUAUUAUUUUAAAAUUGAGUUUAUUGGAAUACCAAAGAAAAUAGGUUCCAUAACCGAUAAUAAUAUUUUGAUACGUCGUUGGCGUGUUACGUAAUAAUAUGUAAGAAAUAUUUUUCUACACAUGUUAUAAUUAUUAGUACUUAGUAGGUAAUAGCCACAAGUUAAUAUGUAUAUAUUAUUAUAUUAAACUGGUAUAUACUUUAGAAACUAUUUUCAACUUCUUAAAGGUUCUAAACAAACAAGGUGUAACUGGUUCAAGUUCCCUACAACUAAAUAAAUUAAGUUAAUAUUUAAAUAAUUCUACCAUCUCGAAAAGUUUGCCCAACCGACUAUAUAGUUGCCCUGGUUCUAAAUACAUGCAAUUAUAUUUUAUCAUUUGGGGUUGAGUAUGACGUGUGUCACGUAUAUCAUUUAGUGUGUGUGUUUUAGCCUACACCACGAACCAAUACCUAAGUAUAAAAUUAAAAUAAGUAAUAAUAAUCCGUAUAAAGAGAUUUUAUAAUAAUGUGUACCUAUACUAUCUAUGUCCUAUACUGCACUGCAGGAUGACCGUCUACACGACUUGGCUCAGAUCGCGAGAGAAACGUUAGACGUGAACGGUGACUGUUGGGAGGUACGUAAUACGAUUAUACAUAAUAUAUAAAUUAUAAAAUAUACAUAUUUUAAAUUUAUCGAAUGCAUACCAAUCUCUGUAAAUGCUCACGUGGCGAAUAUUCUUCAACCAAAUUGUUCAUUAUGUUUUUUGUUAUCGCAUAAUUAUUGUUUUAUCCCCCCAAAACCGUACAAGGUACAACACACCUGUCAGCUUAAUCGACUUAUAGGCCCUUUUCUCAGCUAGGACAGUGUACAAAAAUAUAUUAUUAUCUAAUAUAAUAGGCGUGUUUCAGAUGAAACGAUUGUCCAGGCGUCUGAGACAUAGCAAAGUGAAAUUUGACGUCUGUGGUAUGGUGACGGUGGACAAGACGCUUUUAUCGUCGGUAAGGCAAAUUAUGGACAAAACAAUACAUUUAAAUCAAAAUUCAAAAUGAUAUAAUUUUGCAGUUGGCUAAAUACAAUAAAAGGGCCAUUUUACAAUUAGUUUGUUUUCAAAAUAAAAUGGUCUGUUUCCAGGCAGUGAUCAGUGUAAUUUCGUAUUUGGUGAUCGUGUUGCAGUACAACUACAGUUAAACAAAAUUCCAGCAAAUCGGUUUAAUUUAAAUAAUAGCGUAUAUCCACGGCCACAACACGAAUACUUAUUAUAUUAUUAUACAUCCAUUGUCAUUCAAUAUACAAUAUGUCUUAUAAUUACGUUGCUAUUAUAUACAAGUCAAGGUCAUCAUUAUCGUAAUAUUGUUUAAACAUAUACAGUGAUAUACUUGAUAUCCCUGUCAUGACUUGCACAGGUGCAUGUUGAACCACAAGCACUAAUAGACUAUGGACAAAUGGUGGUUAGAUAUUAAUAUAAUAAUAUGUUACAUUAUAUUAUUCUAAUAUACGACAAUAAUUGUAAUUUUAUUAACUUCUCGUUUGUAUAGUGUAUACCAUAGGUACCCACUACCCACUACCUGUAUAGUUAUACAAUUCAAUAGUAUAUUAUAGUAUAGUUUAUAAUAUUAAAAACUGUAUUCAACACAAAUUAAAGAAUUCUUUUAAGAAUCGCGUUAUUUUUUUUCUUGCGAUUGUCAACUAAAAAAUUAUUUGAGAUUAAGCUUUACAAAAAAAGGCUGUCAUUAAACCACUUAGGGUAUAUAGCAUAUAUUAUAUAAUAAUGUAUGAAUGGAACCUUAAUUUUUCACCAUGGUACAGUACUCCAGUGUACCACCAUCAGGUGUGUAUAAAACCGGUAUUUGUCUUUUUUAAAUAAUAAAUAUACAAUAUUGCUAUAUUAUUAUAUUAUACUACAUUACUACUAGCUGGUCCUGAACGGACCUCGUUGCCCGUGACAAAUCAAAUAAUACCAGUGAAUUAACCCUGUUACUCCGUAACAUAAUAUAAACUACACACAUUUUUAACAGCCAUUAGGCGGCUUUGACAAAAAUAUAAAAUACUGGUCUAAACUCUAAAAUUAUAUAAAAUAAUAAUAAUUUAUGAACAUUUUAUAUUCUGUAAUCAACGGAAUUACCUAGAUGUCGUCGAUAAUCAUAUAUUGUUUUUUUCUCUUUUCUGUGGUUUUAGUACUUACGUCAAGUAAUGAGCCCCCUCCCUCCUCACUUAAUUUUUGCACCCUGCGGUAUCGUGCCAUGGUGGUAAUGUGGUAUAACGUUUCAAUAAAAAUAUACAAGUCCUUUAUAUUAUUAUCUUAUUAGUCCGUGGUACAUUGUACAUAUUUUAAUACUUGCUAUUUAGACAAUACGCACGAUGCAUAUUGACACAUGUGACAUAAUAUAAUAUAAUUAAUUAUUAUUAUUAUAUUAUUGAUAUUAAUAUAUUCUGUGAUAUUAUACAUAAUAUACAAUCCGAGAAUCUUACAUUCUUACCACAGAAAUACAGAAUAGAUUAAUCGAACAAUAAAUAAAUACAGAUAAUGAAUACUACUGUCACGGUCACGCGAAGGACCGAGUUAAGGUAAGAUACAUGAUAUACAUUAUACAGCACAAAUGCUGUGGUUUAUAGUUUAUACCACGCCGAAGUAAAUAUAUAAUAUCAAAUGUUUGUUAUAAUGACCUACGACCAGUACGACCUACGUUAAAUUAGUAAGUUAUCAACAUAGACGACCGUAUAUACAUUGAGUCUAUUUGGAUUAAGUUAUUUUGAUCUUUGAGACGUAUCCAGAACAUGACUGUUUAGAAAAAUAAUAUAUUUUAUGAACUAGCUAGGUAUAUAUACUAUACUACUAUACUAAACUACUAUAUACUAUAUUAUUAUAAUGCUUUAUAAUUAAGUAUAAAGUCAUAUAUUAUAAUGAGCGCGUAAUUACAGUUUUAACCUCAGGACGCACUUACUACAUGUAUACUACGUAACUGCGUAUAUUAUCAUAAGUCAUUACAAAUAAAUCGAACUAAAUUAAUUUUUUAGACUAUCGAUUCCAUAAAAAAUGUCAAAAUACUAUUUAUCGUGUGUAUUCAAAUUUCCAACAUAACAUAUCAGUGUUAUGGCACGUAUAAGAAUAUACAGACACAUUGUUCUGCGUUACCGCCUACAUCUGGUGUCCGAGUAUCUCUAUUAUGCUCCUGUAUAUUAAGCUCCUCUUAAACAUGACUUAAACUUUUCAAUUAGAAUAUAAUAUAUUAAUAUGAUAUCGAUAUUAAUUUAAUGUGGAAUUGAUAUUACUAUUAUUGUUAUUUGACAAAUAAUUGAAUUACAAUUGCUUAAAAGCAAUUUUUUUAAUUGGCGUAGUAUAUUUUCCAUAUUCUAAAAGUGCCAAUUCCAAAUAAUUCCGGCCUCUACUAAUAACUAGAUAAUAAGAAAACCUGAAAAUGUUUAGGUUAUGUUUUCUUUUGACCUAUUAAAGUCCAACGAUUAGGCUACAAUACUGUGCACACAAUAAUAAAAAAAUAAUACAGUUAAUACAUAGGUAUUUGAUAACAUUUACUAGCAAGUCAUGAUUCAUGAUUAUCAGAAAGCCGUAUACACAUCAUAAUAUUGGUAGCACUUUAUCAAGGUCAAAAAUAUUUUUUUACUAACAAUACUAUUGUACAAUUAUCAGUUGUACACACAAACAUUAUAAAAGUCAAAAGUUUAUUAUCCAAAAAAUUCAUUUUUCGUAUUAAUAAGUAAUAACUAUUGUUAGGUCUUUAUGGAUUAAUAUUAGCGAAAACAAAAACAGCCAAUCACAAUAUUAUGGAUAGUGACUGUAUACUCAUAUUAUAUAUAUACCUAAAUCACAAUCGUAGUUGCUGUAUAUAGGUACUUUAUCAAAUAAUAUUACUAAAAAUAAUAAUUCAUUUCAGUUUUGUACGGCAAACAUGAAAGUCAAUUUAUCCAUUGUGUUUAAGAGUUUUUCUGUUCCCUAUUACUAUUCAAUAUUGUUCGGAUGGAUGCCCAUCCGUAUACCAAAGAAUGACAGCGAAAUGAAAAACAAGAGUUUGUGGUGUAUACCUGGAUUAAUUUUUUCGUUGAGUUAUAUCAUACUACUAAUAGUUUCCGGAAGCACUACUCAGGCAUUAAGAAAUGCAAUCAAGUACCAAGGAAAUAGAACUUUGAGUAAUAUAACAAUUCACGAUCGUAUACAGAUUGUAGUGGGACCUAUGUUCAUAAUAUCUCUGUGGUUGAAUCAAACGAUUAUGAUCAUAAUACACAUAUUGAUGCCGUUCCAUUUAAAAGGACUAAGAACUGUUUUCAAGCUCUUCAAUGUUUUUUUCAAGUGCCAUGGCUCGAUUAUAGGGGACGAGAACACCAUUAACAUGAUAGCACGCAACACUAACAUUGAAUCCGGCAUGAUGAUCAUAAUGAACACAGUUCUGUCGAUCGUAUCGGUUACGACAAGUUUCAAUAGGAUAAGACUGACCUUUGCUUGGAAACUGUACAUCUUGAUCGACAAUGUUAUUCACAAACUAGCGGCGAUUUCGCUGUGUGUCCAAUUCUGGUGUAUGUGUUCAGUAUUGGCAAAAUGCUAUAAGUGUCUCAACGUAUCUCUGGAUAGACUUCGAAUCCGAAAAAAUCAUGUGACGAUACGCCCCCCGGGCUUAUUCACAAUGCCAGACCGGUUGACGCUACCGACGAAUAUGGUAACGCACAUCCGGAAGUUAAACCAAGCACACACUGACCUCUGUUCCAUCCUCGAUCACACAAACGGCGUUUAUCAGGUGUGUACCGACAUUUUCAAUAUACGACUUGUUGUGUAUUAUAUUUUAUACUAUUUCGUUCUUAUGACGUGUUGUAUAUAUCUGCACAAGGUGCUGAUCCUUUUGAGCAUCAUCACUUGCGUACUAAGCAUGCUGCCUCAUUUAUUCGUUUUGGGAAUUAUCAUGGCAUAUUCAAAUUUUAAAAUCACACCACAAUUAUCCAUGGUCAUAUGGCCGCUCCACUACAUGAUAAGGGUAUAUAUCGUGUGCAAAGCCGCUUCAAUUGCGUCCAACGAAGCCAGACGGACAAAAACUAUUCUCAAUGCUGCAUUUCACAAACAUUUGACAGACGACGAAAAAAACGGAAUAAAAGGUUUCUUGGAAAGGAUUGAUAAUAAGAAAAUAAGAUUUUCUUUAUACGGCUUGAGCUAUUUGGACGACGAAUAUUUCUUAUCAAGUGUAAUGGCAGUGGGAGGAUACCUAGUGAUCAUCAUUCAAUCGUACAUGACAGUUAUCGAAGAACAAUAUCCAAUUUAUGAUCGUCCAACUGCCGAUAAAUUUGACGAAUGAACCAACAAGCAUUAUUCUAUACUUUUCAUUUAUUUUACACUUUAUAAAUCACUUAUGCGUCCCCGCGAUCAUAGUUCAUAGACAAUUAGGUAUAUUCCACAACGAUAGUAUAUUGUAUAUUAUUGGAUAUGCCACUAAUCAUUAUUAAUUCUUUGAAAAAUUAAAAUCGAGAUUUUAUAAAAGUGACGUGAAGUUGAUUGAAAAUAUUGAUUUAUGAAAUUAUUAUUUUUUAGACUUAGUAAUGCAUACACGAGAAUGAGGUUAGUUUUAAAUUUUAAUCAAUAACAAUAAUAUGUUUUCGUAUCUACAUGCAUACCAUGAAUAAUAAAUAAAUUCUAAUACGCAAAAACGUCGUUGUAUCAAACAAAAACAAAUUAGGAUAAUACAAUAAUACUAUUCUUUGGUGUACGCCUCAUGACUCGUGCGUACACAAUUCUGUAUACACGAACGCGUACAAAGUUGCAUAUACAGCAGGCACGCUAUGAUGCAGUCGUUGUGUACGAAUGGUUUUUUAAUUCCAGUGGCUCGUCGAAACUCAAUACAAGUUAAGGUAGAUGCUAUUUGACUAUUAAAAUAUUGUUACGAUUGCACCGUUGUCAACUGGUACUUAAUAAACGUCUUGGAUAACGACUUUUUUUGAGAAAGACUAAGAUUUUGUUAAGGGGUUCGUUAUAGGCAAUUUUUAACAAAGUAAAUGCAUAAAUACGGCUAUAUUAUUUAACGAGACUGCCGUAACCAUGCGGAGAUUUGGUACCCUAAGUAUCUGCUGACAUUUUAGCUGUGUCAUUUAACGCAGUCACAUGGGGGGAAAUUCGGAAACGUAAUACCUUACAUUAUUAGGUUUCCGUUUUCAGUUGAAACGCUACACGUUGAACGGGUCGUUUGCAUUGGUGGCGUGCGUGUUGAUGUACAGAGACUGGGCCACUUCCGAAUCGUCGAUUCCGGAAAUCGCGUUCCGAAUUGUACCGCAUUACGUGCAGAUAUUGAUAACGAUAUUGGAGUGUACGAUACGACAUAUUGUAAUUCAUUGCCACACUUCCGGUGACUGCCGAACGUUGUCUGAUUGGUUUUACUGGGCGGUGACGUCUAUGUGUCUGUUUAGCAGCAACUGGUUACGUCUGCUGUAUCGCGAUGGCCUUUCCAUAAACCCGGAAAACAUACUCCAGGUAGGAUCAUAAAAAUAAUAUUAUGGUUGGUGGCCAGGGCCAAAGGAGGCGUUUUUGAUAAUUCUAUUACACUGUAUCGUCGAACAAAUAUAAUUUCAUUAAAAUAAACCAGUGAAUAAAUUGUAAAUUAUUCUAGCGCGGGUAUUCUGAUGCAAAGUUAUUCAAAUUAAAUUUUAAUAGCACACUGUAAUAAAAAAAUACACCAUACAUUUUCCGAGAGUCGUAGAAAAGAUAUUCGAUUUGGUUUUAGUGCUUAAAUUAAUAAUUUUUUUCUAGAAAAUUUAUAUACAUAUAAUAUGUAGGUAACACAUAAUUUCUUCGAAUGUGUGUUGGUACACGUUCGUUUGAUUUUAUCGACACAUUCGAAACACCCUCGGCUUUCGUUUAAAAUAUUUGAAUUAAUUUAAAAACAUUAAACCGAAAACAGCGAUUAGAUUUUUAAGUACAUAUAUUUAUAUUAUAUUUUAUGCCAUUGCACAUUCUAAAUCGAUUUAUAUAUUAUAUAUAUAUAUAUAUAUAUCGUGAACAAAGUAUUAAAGACUUCAUGGAUGAAAUAUCGUCAACUACUUAGUACCUACUAUUUAAUACUUGUACAGUUAUGUAUUAUACAGAUUGAUUCACCUAAAGCAUGCUCACCACCAUUGUUUUUAUUUAAUAAUGAUUAUACUUUAAGACCAUAUUUUUAAAUUCUUAAAUUGUUUGUACUACUUAAGAAGUUUCCUGCAGUAAUAUAAUCUUCUGUUUUUCAAAUGAGAUCACAAUUUUUUACUGUAAAUUAUUCGGCGGAUAUUUUUUCUGAAAAUCUUGAUGUAUCAAAAUCAAUAAGUAUUCAAACGAAUAGAUUUUUAGUUAUUAAAAUGCUUAUAUUAAGGAUAAAAGUCCAUAAAAAUGGUCUACAAUAGUAUAAAAUGUAUGUGAUAUCGGAUCUAGUAAUCUUUAAAUAUAUAUUAUUAUAUAUAUAACUAGCUGAUCCAGUGCAC
rnacentral:misc_RNA from 1 species